AGAAUCAACGCUGGCGGCGUGCCUAACACAUGCAAGUCGAACGAGAAAGUGGAGCAAUCCAUGAGUAAAGUGGCGCACGGGUGAGUAACACGUGACUAACCUACCCUUGAGUGGGGGAUAACCUAGAGAAAUCUGGGCUAAUACCGCAUAAUACCUUCGGGUCAAAGGAGCAAUGCGCUUGGGAGAGGAGUUCGCGGCCGAUUAGGUUAGUUGGCCGGGGUAAUGGCCCACCAAGACGAUGAUCGGUA
rnacentral:rRNA from 1 species